GAACCCUCCGUGCACGAAGGUUUCUAAUUUCCUCGUUGCUUCUUCUAUUGACUUUUCCUAGUAUUCUGAGAGAAGAAAUUAGCUUUUUACCCAUGACCAAUUCUAUUAGAACAUAGACUCUGAUCUGAUUCAUUUGCUUCAGAAUUUUUGUGAAUUUUCAUCUGUGUGUUGCAUUUUGGGUCUUUCUUGUACUAUAAAAAUCAAAUUUGAGUGCUUGGAUGAGAGAAAAUGGGGAUUUGUAUGAGAAAAGAGAAGCGUGUAAAGUCGAACGCUAAUGGGCAUAGAGCUGGAAAUAAAGUGCAUCAUAAUCAGACUCCAAUUCAAUACACAAUGUCUCCAGGCUAUGCCGCCCAAUUUCUUAUAACCCCCCAGCAAGCCCUAAACGAGUUGUUCAAAAAGCGAACACCAUUUUAGGAAAGCCAUAUGAAGAUAUCAAAGCCUGUUACAGCCUUGGAUAAGAAUUGGGAAGAGGGCAAUUUGGCGUUACUCAUCUUUGUGCAGAUAUUUCAAUAGGUCAACAGUGUGCUUGCAAAUCAAUUUCCAAAAAGAAGCUUGUUACCAAGAGUGAUAAAGAGGAUAUGAGAAGAGAGAUUUAGAUUAUGAAGCAUUUGAGCGAGCAAUCUAAUAUUGUUGAAUUCAAGGGUGCUUAUGAGGAUAAACAGUCAGUGCAUCUUGUAAUGGAAUUGUGUGCUGGUGGAGAGCUUUUCGAUCGGAUCAUUGCAAAGGGACAUUACAGUGAAAGAGCUGCUGCUUCAAUCUGUAGGUCUAUUGUGAAAGUCAUGCAGAUUUGCCAUUUCAUGGGUGUGAUGCACGU
rnacentral:lncRNA from 1 species